UGGAAAUUGUAGUAGAGUGCAACCAACAGUCCUAAUUGGCUUAUUAAACUUGAAUGGACACUUUUCCGGACAAAAGCGGGAUUAGAAUUACGCUUCAGCAAUACACGGAGGAAUAUCAUUUCAUCAGUAAAGUUCAUUCACAAAUAAUAAACUCAGACUUUGUUGUGAACGUGAGAUUAAGCGAAAACAAAAUCAUACUUGUCGAAAAAAGAGAGUAGGAGCAGAAUAUAAGGAACAACAACAGUUAUACCCAACAUCAGCUAAAAUGCUAUUGCUGUCCUCUUGGUGGAAUUUGUUUACCUACAAAACUACUAAUGCGCUAACAAUACCUUCCACAAAAAUGCAACAAUCCUAUAACAUGAAUUUUGAAGUGAAAUUCUUUCGCAGAGCGUAUAUUGAGAUUAAUCACUUGAAAAAUUUCCAUUCGAACUAAAUCUGACCCUAGAAAAGAAGAGACAUAUUCGAGAAAGAUAAAAAAGGGAAGAAAGAAAAAAGCUAAAGGCAUGUAAAUUUGUCCGGUUACAUAUGAUAAUAGAUUGGAAACCAUUCUAAAGAGGUCAUUCAUCAUUGUGAAUUCAAUGUACCAUUGGAACACGGUCGUGUCUGAAGUGAGCACCCUCAGAAGCCUCCUUUCUUCCCCUUUUUUCUGGGGGGUGACAAUUACUCGAAAUAAGAUAUAUAUCUCUUGCUCGUCACCUUUCCCGGGUGAGUUUUUCUCUGAAGGAAUUUUUUGAGCUACUUCACACACUAAGGUAUUACAAUGACAUAUCUGAAUGACAAAAUGUGUCUUUAAUUGUAGCUGAAGAAGCAGUGUUAUACGGUUUGCGAUAAGAUUAGCAAUCUGAGGGCGACUUUAGACAGGUAUAUCAGAAGAAAACACAUUUUGACAAAUUUGUUAGAAUUCAUCAACAUUAUGCGAGCCACUUGUGAGAUGACAAAUUGCCACUUGUGCAAGAUUUAUUAUCAAAGACUGUAGAAAUAUAGCUGACCUUCAAAAAUACGAGUAGCCAUGGUUCUUUUAAAUAGUUUUUGCGUGAACUGUUGACUGAUUAGAGUCUUCUGUAAAAAUGAUUGCACGCUGAAGGAACAACACAGAAAGGGCCCCAUUGCCCACACAGGGUCUCCCAGAUGUUGAAGACAAUUCCGUAGCAACAUACCAAUUGCAGACGAAUGUUUCAAAGUUCAAGUGUUCGUUGUUGGGGCUUGUUUUAGACACUCGCAGGUGUGCAAAGUGACUCCGUUUUUUAAGGAAAAGAACGAAGUGAAAUGAUCAAUGUAUAGCAAGAAACAACAACUUUUACAGCAAAACUGUUUUAUCUUCUGAACAUAAAACGAGGGGCAGUUUUACUUUCAGGUCCAUAGCUGGGCAACGGGGUGGGCGGUCGGGUUUUUAGCAGGACCAUCCGCAGGUGCAUCGAAGAUUUGGCUGAUAAAUUCUCGAUUAACAUUCUCCCUCACCCUUUGUUUUCUGUAAUUUCUUUGACAACUUCUAUUUGAUAUCCCCCUUUUUGUUGUUGAACAUACCAACAAAUUGAUGAGAAAACAUGACCAUGAAUCUAUACAAAUGCGGAAAUGUUGCAGUGUUUAAUCUCUGUUUGAAUAACAUUUACAAGGAUUGCACGAGAGAAAAAAACAUCGCUUUGUCUUCGAAUGUACGUAUGUAGAUUGACGUAAAGACCAAUAAAAAUAUGAAACUUGGGUACGUGAUAAUUAUCAAUAUAGAACCGUACCAAUCGUAUACACUGAAUUAAAGAUAAAAUUCACUUUCGGAGGGUGCAUCCAAAUUAGCAUGAAAUAAUGCUUGAAUAAUCUUUUAUUUUCCUUCAUAAUUCAAAAAAUAAAAAAAAUUAAUGAUUAAAUAUUUAAUUUUAUUCAAUGAAGAACAGUCUGUCGCUCUAUCAUGCCAUGGAAGGUUUGUGUCUGAUUCCUGCUCAUUAGAUUAACACUUGCCACAUCAAACACCCAUAAUUCCCUCCGUUUCCGCUGCAAUGGUCAGCAACAACUCAUUCAUGUCAGAGUCUGUAACUUUGCUAUGAGUGAUUGAACUCUGUCAUGAUUCUACAACAAAAAACACUGAUAAUUACAAGCAUCUAUUGACUGUAUAAUUAGUGGCUAAAUAUUCAAUGUAUAAGCAUUGAAUGCAAUUUUUUAAGGUAGUUUUCCCAACAUUAUUGUGAGCUGUACUUAUGCAUGGUGUAAAGGAUAUUUUUAAAGUUGCAAUGUAAAAUUGUGUGAAGCAUUUUGUCUAUGAUAUAUAUUUAAAACUUUUCAACUUU
rnacentral:sRNA from 1 species